CCGUCCAAAUUUUGGCCAAUUCGUCGCAGUGGGUACGUGCCAUCGACGAAGGCUAUCCAAUCCUAUGCAAUUCAAUCGGUGGCCCUGUUCCUUUCUGCUGGAUUUUUACUUCAAUUUUAACUAGUUUGUUUACAUUGUGCCUGGAUUUCAUUGCUCUGGAAUUCAGGGAGAAGUGUAGCCACCUACGAGCCACUGAAUCCAGGUACGAAGCCUUCUUUGCCUUUUCCCUCGGCGUGUCUUCAACCGCUACGGCGAUCGGCAGCCGAUAACGGCGGCACGAGCCCUAUGACCGCCAGCGUGUUUUGAGGCACGUGAGUGCAUCGGGGGAACGCGUCCGCGAUUCUACCAACACACGCCAUGUGCAUGACGUCAUCAAGCCGGCAGGGCUAGUCCUUCAACAUCAAGGAGCUGACGGCCCGCCUCCGGUGACCAUGGUGGAACCCAGCGAAGGGGAGAGCAAGAGAGCUCGUCUUGAUGAGGCACCCAAUCAGGAAAAUGGCCAUACUUCCCAAAAUGACCUAAGCGAUUAUGAAGCCAUUGAGUGGGAUGAGGAACCUUUCAACUUCAUGACCUACAAAAAGAAAAGAAGUGAAGGAAUCCCGGUGAUGUUCAGACCAUCAGAAGAAGGACACAGGUUUUGGCAAGAUGUCCACAGAGCAUGGCCGCAUCCAUGCUACCCAAACAUGACUUAAUUCAUGGGAAGCAACCACCACACAAGGAGCCCCUUCCGAAUCCCGAUGCUGUGAGCCCAGCGAAUCAUCUCCUGUUUACAUCAACUGAACAAAGAUCAAAAUAACUAUCGUAUUCGUCGGCAAUAAAGCAGCAAGCUGCGCAAGGGCUUCAUAGACAGCGGAGUCAUCAUUCUGCUACGGUCACUGAAGGCCACACAUCACAAGAAUACUAGCGACCUAACCUAGGGCAACCUCAGCGGGCUUCUUAGAACACCCCUCAGCGAUCACAUCGGAAGGUGACUGGAACCUCGGCAUUUCUGGAUAACACCGCGCCACUCAGUGUUGGAAAGAUGAUUCUACCCAUGCUGUUUGCUGCAGUUUGAGCCAUUGUCACAGCUCUACCUCAGGCGAACAAACUCCCAGAGGUAAAGGCACUGUUGUCUAUGGAGCCUAUAGAGAGCCAUCUGUCCGCAUCAGCGCUAGUGGAUGGCAAUCAUGAAUAGUCGUAACGAAAAUGUCGGAAUAUUUAGGUGGAACGCUAAUAGCCUUCGAUCCAAAUCUGCUGAUUUCGCUAGUUGCAUAAUACAGCUUCCCCGUGCUGUGCAUACAAUAGGCUGGUGUGCGUGAUGAUUUCCGUCCUGCUAAUUACAUAAUACAUACAUCCUCUUGUCCAGCUGGAACAAUAGAGCAAUGUUCUGCGUUCGAAAA